UUCUUACUAUUAGGUUGGUGCAAAAGUAAAUGGUUUUUGCCAUUAAAAGUAGUGGCAAAAACUGCAAUUACUUUUACACCAACAUAAUAAAU
rnacentral:miRNA from 10 species